UAGCAAUACGAGAGUGGCAGACGGGUGAGUAACACGUGGGAACCUUCCCUAUGGUUCGGAAUAGCUCAGGGAAACUUGAGGUAAUACCGGAUAAGCCCUUACGGGGAAAGAUUUAUCGCCAUUGGAUGGGCCCGCGUCGGAUUAGCUAGUUGGUGAGGUAACGGCUCACCAAGGCGACGAUCCGUAGCUGGUCUGAGAGGAUGAUCAGCCACACUGGGACUGAGACACGGCCCAGACUCCUACGGGAGGCAGCAGUGGGGAAUAUUGGACAAUGGGCGCAAGCCUGAUCCAGCCAUGCCGCGUGAGUGACGAAGGCCUUAGGG
rnacentral:rRNA from 1 species